CUUUCCUACGGGGCGCAGCAGUGAGGAAUAUUGGUCAAUGGCCGAGAGGCUGAACCAGCCAAGUCGCGUGAGGGAUGACGGCCCUACGGGUUGUAAACCUCUUUUGUCGGGGAGCAAAGAGAGUCGCGCGUGACUCAUUGAGAGUACCCGAAGAAAAAGCACCGGCUAACUCCGUGCCAGCAGCCGCGGUAAUACGGAGGAUGCGAGCGUUAUCCGGAUUUAUUGGGUUUAAAGGGUGCGCAGGCGGAGGAGCAAGUCAGC
rnacentral:rRNA from 1 species